rnacentral:rRNA from 1 species
AGAGUUUGAUCAUGGCUCAGAACGAACGCUGGCGGCAGGCUUAACACAUGCAAGUCGAACGGACGCGAGCAAUCGCGUCAGUGGCAGACGGGUGAGUAACGCGUGGGAACAUACCCUCCGGUUCGGAAUAGCUCAGGGAAACUUGGAUUAAUACCGGAUACGGCUGAGAGGCGAAAGAUUGAUUCGCCGGAGGAUUGGCCCGCGUUCGAUUAGCUUGUUGGUGAGGUAACGGCUCACCAAGGCGAUGAUCGAUAGCUGGUCUGAGAGGAUGAUCAGCCACAUUGGGACUGAGACACGGCCCAAACUCCUACGGGAGGCAGCAGUGGGGAAUAUUGGACAAUGGGCGCAAGCCUGAUCCAGCCAUGCCCAUGGAGUGAUGACGGCCUUGCCUUGUAAAGCUCUUUCGCUCGGGACGAUAAUGACGGUACCGAGAUAAGAAGCCCCGGAUAACUUCGUGCCAGCAGCCGCGGUAAUACGAAGGGGGCUAGCGUUGUUCGGAAUUACUGGGCGUAAAGCGCGUGUAGGCGGGUCGUUAAGUCAGGGGUGAAAUGCCAAGGCUCAACCUUGGAACUGCCUUUGAUACUGGAGACCUUGAGUCCGGGAGAGGUGAGUGGAACUGCGAGUGUAGAGGUGAAAUUCGUAGAUAUUCGCAAGAACACCAGUGGCGAAGGCGGCUCACUGGCCCGGAACUGACGCUGAGACGCGAAAGCGUGGGGAGCAAACAGGAUUAGAUACCCUGGUAGUCCACGCUGUAAACGAUGGAUGCUAGCCGUUGGGGAGCUUGCUCUUCAGUGGCGCCGCUAACGCUUUAAGCAUCCCGCCUGGGGAGUACGGUCGCAGAUUAAAACUCAAAGGAUUGACGGGGGCCCGCACAAGCGGUGGAGCAUGUGUUUAAUUCGAAGCACGCGCAGACCUUACCAGCUUUUGACAUGUCCUGACGGAUUGCAGAGAUGCGAUUCUUCCCUUCGGGGCCGGAACACCAGGUGCU